GACGAACGCUGGCGGCGUGCUUAACACAUGCAAGUCGAACGAUGAAGUUCCUUCGGGAAUGGAUUAGUGGCGAACGGGUGAGGAACACGUGAGAAACCUGCCUUUCAUUUUGGGAUAACUCCGGGAAACCGGGGCUAAAACCGACUACUCCGUCUCGGCGGCAUCGCUGAGCCGGGAAAAAAUUUUGAUGAAAGAUGGUCGCGCGGCCUAUCAGCUAGUUGGUGAGGUAAUGGCUCACCAAGUCAACGACGGGUAGCCGGCCUGAGAGGGCGGCCGGCCACACUGGGACUGAGACACGGGCCAGACUCCUACAGGAGGCAGCAGUGGAGAAUAGUGGGCAAUGGGCUCAAGCCUGGCCCAGCGACGCCGCGUGAGGGAUGAAGGCCUUCGGGUUGUAAACCUCUUUCAGUAGGGAAGAAGCGAAAGUGACGGUACCUAAAGAAGAAGCACCGGCUAACUAUGUGCCAGCCGCCGCAGUAA
rnacentral:rRNA from 1 species